rnacentral:rRNA from 1 species
GUCCACGCCGUAAACGAUGGAUACUAGCUGUUGGGAGCAAUCUCAGUGGCUAAGCGAAAGUGAUAAGUAUCCCACCUGGGGAGUACGUUCGCAAGAAUGAAACUCAAAGGAAUUGACGGGGGCCCGCACAAGCGGUGGAGCAUGUGGUUUAAUUCGAUGAUACGCGAGGAACCUUACCAAGGCUUAAAAUGUAGUUUGACAGAUUUGGAAACAGAUUUUUCUCGGACAAAUUACAAGGUGCUGCAUGGUUGUCGU